rnacentral:rRNA from 1 species
CCCUUAGAUGUUCUGGGCUGCACGCGCGCUACACUGAUGCGAUCAACAAGUUUUUCCUAUGUCGAUAGACACGGGUAAUCUUUUGAACUCGCAUCGUGAUGGGGAUAGAUUAUUGUAAUUAUUAAUCUUCAACGAGGAAUUCCCAGUAGGUGCAAAUCAUCAGUUUGCAUCGAUUACGUCCCUGCCCUUUGUACACACCGCCCGUCGCUGCUACCGAUUGGUUGAUCUGGUGAAUUAUUCGGACUGCCGGCUGAAGGGGUUUCCUCAUCUGCCAGCGGAAAGUCUUGUUAACCCUAUCAACUAGAGGAAGCAGAAGUCGUAACA